ACUAACGCUUACUUACAAAUCAAUGGCAAUUCCUCAAAUUCACGCGUUGGAGAUCAUUACCUUCGAUAUCUAUGCCUAAAAAAAAUCGAACAAAUUCUUAACAAAGAAUUCAAGCAAAUCAAUCAAAAACCAACUUCGACAGAAACGACGAAGUUGACAAACAAUGAAAUGCACACUUACCCGACCACACAGCAGUAAAAAUUUAAUAGCAACUUUAGCGAUUGUGAAAACCAAAAAGAAUAAGAGAAAAAGAAUAACAAAAGAAUAAGAGAAAAAGAACAAACGGAAGAGGGAAAUGAAAGAAAACAAUUUAAUUUUAAAAAAAAACAAUUAAACUAAUUCUAUAGAAUAGCAAAACAAAACAAAAAAAAACAUAUCCCCACUUCACUCACACAAAGACUCGAAGACUAGACCAAAGAGUAUCAGAUACUUAACCAUCGAAUCAGCAAGCUCAUUCUUCACACAGGCUAACAUAGAAUUAAAC
rnacentral:lncRNA from 1 species